rnacentral:rRNA from 1 species
AACGAACGCUGGCGGCAGGCCUAACACAUGCAAGUCGAGCGCCCUUUCGGGGGAGCGUCGGACGGGUGAGUAACGCGUGGGAAUAUGCCCUUCUCUACGGAAUAGCCUCGGGAAACUGAGAGUAAUACCGUAUACGCCCUUUGGGGGAAAGAUUUAUCGGGGAAGGAUUAGCCCGCGUUGGAUUAGGUAGUUGGUGGGGUAAUGGCCUACCAAGCCGACGAUCCAUAGCUGGUUUGAGAGGAUGAUCAGCCACACUGGGACUGAGACACGGCCCAGACUCCUACGGGAGGCAGCAGUGGGGAAUCUUAGACAAUGGGGGCAACCAUGAUCUAGCCAUGCCGCGUGAGUGAUGAAGGCCUUAGGGUUGUAAAGCUCUUUAAGCUGGGAAGAUAAUGACGGUACCAGCAGAAGAAGCCCCGGCUAACUCCGUG